rnacentral:rRNA from 1 species
CAGGGGAUCGAAAGACCUUAUGCUUUUNGAGCGGCCGAUGUCUGAUUAGCUAGUUGGUAGGGUAAUGGCCUACCAAGGCGACGAUCAGUAGUUGGUCUGAGAGGAUGGCCAGCCACACUGGGACUGAGACACGGCCCAGACUCCUACGGGAGGCAGCAGUGGGGAAUUUUGGACAAUGGGCGCAAGCCUGAUCCAGCAAUGCCGCGUGAGUGAAGAAGGCCUUCGGGUUGUAAAGCUCUUUCAGUUGAGAGGAAAAGNUUGUGACUAAUAAUCACAAUUCAUGACAGUAUCAACAGAAGAAGCACCGGCUAACUACGUGCCAGCAGCCGCGGUAAUACGUAGGGUGCAAGCGUUAAUCGGAAUUAUUGGGCGUAAAGGGUGCGCAGGCGGUUCUGUAAGUCAGAUGUGAAAUCCCCGGGCUUAACCUGGGAAUUGCGUUUGAAA